CAAAAAUGAAGACGUAGAAGCACGGUUCAACCAUCAGGACCAACUGGAAACCUUCUUUUUCAUUGAAUGGAAAUACCUUCUCCCCUGCCCUGGGCCAAACCAUCCCUCCCUUCUUGCUUGCCUGCCCUUCCUUCCGUUCUGUUAGAACUAGAUCAUCACUUAGAAAUAGGAGACAUCAAGUCAUAUCCUUCCCCUUUUCAUGUAGAAUGACCUAAUUGAGAAUUUAUUGUGUUGUGUAACUAGCAUUUUUUUUGUUGACUUCUGCUUGCAGACUUUUGAAGACAUUUUGGUGAAAUUGUGCCCCAUUAUACAAUGAGAAAUAUCAAAUGCAGAGCCUUCUUUAUGUGUCUAUAAAUCCCCUCUGCCUCCAAGAACAGAAAAGCUUUACAGUAAAUGGUCUCUUUUUAGGACUGUCAUAAUGGCUAGACUCAGUAUAUUUUCAUUAACAAGUCAUCACGGACUAAAUUUUCAAAAUAUUUGGGGAACUUUGAACAGACAGGUGCCUGAGCUCCAAUUUCUACUUGAUUGGUUAACAUAAUAAAGUAAUAGAAUUAAAGAAGUUACCUGCAUUGUUAUAAAUAUAGAAGCAAUCUAUUUAUUGUAUUAAAAAUAGCUUUGCUGAAUUAAAUUGUGGAAGAAGCAAAAUCCUCCAGUAACCUCUUUAGCAAUCUAGCAGUCUGACUAUCAACCAGUAUUAUCACAUCUGACUUUUUGCUAUUGCUUGAAAUGCUUAAUACCUCCUCUUUCCUUACAGUAACUAUAAUGUUAACUACUUAUAUAUCAUUGCUAAGACUGUACAGGCAUCACGCCAGCACACUCCUAUGGUGCAGGGAUAAAACUGUCCCCAGGGAAAGGUGGGUCCUUGCAGUCUGGGACAGAGAGAAAUUACCUGCUACCAUAUCUAAUUACGAGUGGUGACUAAUGGUGUGGAGGGAAGCAGAGUUCAGCACUGCGUAACUGAGACACGUGUCUACAUCUGAUUUUUACAGUUAGUGAAUUUGAACAGAAUAGCUAAUAAAUAAAAUCUAAACCUGUAUAAUAUCUAACUAGUGAAAUUAAUUAUGGAUGGAAUGAAGUGAAAUUUCAAGUGGAUAUAAGGACAACAUCUGCAGCGAGAGUGGGCAAGCACUGGAACAGGUAGCUCAGAGGCACUGUGCAUCUCUGACCUUGGAGAUUUUUGAAAAUGAACUCGACAAGGCCUGAACAAACCUUUUUUCAUUUUGAAGUUAGUCCCACACUGAGCAGGAGUUAAGACUAGAUGUUUCCAGAGAUCCUUUUCAAACUAUAAUAAUUCUGAAAUUUUAAGUUUCCUUUGAAUGGGUAAAGUGAAAUGGUGAGGGGCACUUGACAGGUUUCUCUUGGAAUGUAGAGGAACAUCUGUAAGUUUUACUUGUGACACUAAUAUGAUUGUCACUAUCAAAAAAUUGUAGCCAUCAUUUAAUUUCUGUUGAUUGCCAUGCUGAUUUUUAAAAAGCCUUUUAGAAUGAAAUGAAAAAUAUAAAGAAUUUAAUUAAUUUCUGUUGCCAAUGAACACUUUUUUUUUAGAUAGUGCCUAAUUGUAGUUCUUUUGGAGUCUGCUUCUGGAAGGAGAGCUUUUCCAACUUAUAUAAUUUGGAAGGAACACUGAGGUAAGCAUCCAGGUAGUCUUACUGUGAGAGUCUCAUUUUGUGUUGCAGUGAUGGACAGCUCUCAAAGUCUGCUGCAGGCCUCCAGAAAAUAAGAAGGUAAGAACAUGUUUUCCUGAUAGUGCACAGCUUCAGUUUCUUCUCUGCAGAACCUGUUGCCUGUCACAGGAACAUGCUGCAAGUCCCACCUUAGCCUUCUUUCCAAUAGUUUAUCAUGUCUGGCAGUUCUAAGCCAGAGCUUGCCACUUGCUGUGGGUUUUAUUAAAGGUUGUUUUUUUCUUUCCCCUGGACUUUGUAAAACAGUGUUGAUGUAUCUGUGCAAAUGGUCAGAGUAGAGUGAAACAAUUAUAGCCUUGUGGUGGGACUACUCAUUUACAUUAAGUUAAUAGCAAGCACUUUGACCUAGGCGCCUGUUACUCAUGUUAACUGUAUACUGCACAUAGAUUGUGUGAUAAAUGUAUGAAAGUGUCAGAAUUUCCAAAAUUUGACAUUUUCAUACAUUACAGAUGAUGAAAUAUGCACAGAAAGCAAAUGUUAGAAGAUGAACGUGGGAUUUUAAGUGGAAGGAACACAGCCCCACAAGGCAAUAAUUUCAGACUGAUACAGUUUAUGAAAAACUGAGAUCCCUUGAACCAUUUUUUUAGGUAUUUCCCAAGCGUACUUGUGCUACCUCUGAUAACACUGCUACCACAGCUAUUGAGUACAUGCCAUCUGGAUAUGAGGAGUCCCUACUUUAUACAAAAGAUAUUUCUCAUUAGCUCUUCAGACAUUAUAUUAUAGACACUUUUAUGUGUCCUGAAGUCUUGCAAAUGCUGCAAAGCUCAGCUGCCACUGACAGUUCAGGAACAUAUGAAAAAGGGUUUUGUUUUGCUUUGGGUUUUUUUUGGAUAAUGUGACAUGAACAGAAGUUGCACACUGCAUUUGUUUUUUCCUGACUCAUGGAUCCUAACUGACAUUUUUUUUUGCCUUACUUUUUGGUAAACAUCAAGGGGUCUGAGCCACAAAUUGCUGAGAAGAAUACUGUGACACAUGAAAUGCUGGGAAUAAUUCUUGACACACGUUGACUUUGUAUAUUGUACCUAUAUUGAUUCUAACAGAGUUAAUACAGUUUUAAACUUACAGAAGAUACAAAAGAGUCACAUCCACACUGUGUUUGUUUUGUUAUGUAAUGUACAUGCAUUGCUGUGAGAGAUAAAUAUUGGCAAGAAACAUCUGAAGACAAUAGUGGUUUGGAAUAACACCUGCUGUUUAAGAUUUAUUUUGGAAGUAGUUAGCCCAUCUUUAUUCAGAGAUUUCUUUUUUUCAGAGUUUUUUCUGUGACCUAAGUGAUGGCUUUGCUAAGUGGCCUCCUGGCUGACUAUGCAGUCGGCAUUAGCAAAUAAGGUAACCUAGAUUAAUGUUUUCAGCCUCCACUAAGACUUGGAAAAUUGUAGGGCAUCUUAUAAAUAGAUACUGUAAAAAGUAGGUGACAGUAAACAUUUGGUUUCUUAGAUUUUUUUUUAACUAAAAGCAGCACUGUGUAGUUCAGCAAUGUCUGGAGUAAGGGUGACUUCUGUGAGAAGAAAUAAACUCUUACUUUUGAUUUUUCUGAGUCCAUAGUAAGUGGGACAUUUGGAAUUUUUCUUUACUGGAUUAUUUAAAGACGGACCUCCACAUCUGGGAAUUCACUAACUCUGUUAAUAAACAGUAACUGUGCAACAUCCUACUGUUCUUAACUAUAUCCAAAUCAAACUUUGGCUGAUAAUAAAUAAAUGAUUGUGCUACUUUUCAGCAUCACAUUUCUUCAAUAUCAGUCAGUACUCCUCCAGAAAAGCCACUCAGAAAAUGUAUCUCAAACAAUUCUGUCAUUUAUGACUUAGUGGGUUUUGCUGGAGGACUGUUUCAAUGUCCAAGUGAAUGUGCAAAUGACUGAAAUCUUUAGCAAGUGAAUGGCUGGGCUUUGGAUUAGUAGAUAUUUACAUGUGCUUUCACUAUGAGUAAGUUCAAGUUAUUACUAAGUGAAUGAAAUUACACUUAUAACUUAAAAGCCAGUGCAUUCGGUCCAGACUAGACUAUUAUUGCUUCCUUCCCCACUAAAAGGCAAGAUAUUAAAUAAAACGAGCGCAUUUUUACUUCAACUAAUUUUCUUAUGUAGCUAGUGCCUUUUCAUCUUCACAGCACAUCACUGAAGAAAAUAGCUAUGAUUCUCAGAAAUACCAUCAAAUAAAGCCCUUAUGAAAAAUUAAGUUAGAUUAUCCUUAUGAUAGAACUUCGCUGUUUUUUGAAGAUUGCCUGGCUCAGGAUAAAAAAUAGCAAUGUAAUUUAUAUUUCAAAUCUCAGUUGGUAUGACAUACAUGUGAUCAAUACUGAUCAGAUAGACUAAGCCUUUUGGCUUAGAAAUUUCAUGCAGAAAUGCAGAUUCUAAUUAACAAAUCUCUUAGAUGCAGAUAAGGUGCAGUAGAUAAAGGAAAUGAUUCUUCAAACUCCCUUGAAAACAACCUGUCAUGGUCAGAUUGUCUAUGGAGCUACCCUCAUUUGUGGAUACGGCAUUAUUUCUCACCAUGUGGUGUCUACACUAUGCUGUCCUUGGUUUUUGUAAUCACAUGAAAGCUAUGAGUCUAGGGUCUCAUAGCUUUCAUGUGAUUUGGGUCUAGGCUUUUAACAAAGAACAGUCAGUGGAAAUGUAAUUUUUAAUCUAGAUUUCUCUGAGAACUUGUUCACAGUAGCCAGUGAGGAUAAUUUUAUGCAAUGUUUGUCUUGGAGGAUAAUGGGAAAGGGUGUACAUUUAUUUAUUUAGGAACAGAUAUGGCAGUUUUUAUAGGGGAAAAAGAUAAUAAUUGCGUCAGAAUUUAGACAACAUAUCUGAGAAACAAAACUGGGGUUUCUCCAGAUGAUUGAAGCUGUUUUUAUGAAUAAAGACCUACUUUGACCCUUUGUAAAAUGUCUAUGCCUUGGUGUUAGUAGCUGAAGUUAACGCUGGCUUCGUAUACUGACACGCUUCCAUUUGUGUAUUGCUUAGUUCUUAGAUAUUAGUGGCUGGCAAGUCUUCUAUAUUUUAUUGUCUCAUCACAGAGGGAGGGGACACACACUGAAAUGGUAUCAUAGCUUUUUGCAGAUGUGAGUUCUUUGAGGCUCUCCACUGAGAACAGAGAGUCUCCAGCUGUCACAGGGGAAAAGGGAAAGCAGAUUGCUAUGUGUUGGCAUCUUUUUAGUGCUUCAGACAUCUCAAUAUACCUUAAUCCGUUGGUUUUACUUCUGCUAAUGUAAUCAAGAUAAUCACUGCAAAAAUUUCUAAGAAUGAUCUUAAUAAUUAUUACUUAGCAGUUUUGUGACUGCUAACUAUAGCAGUUAUUCUAACUAUUCUGCUAUUCUAGUUCUUGUAAUGUAUUUUGUGUUUAUUUUAGUAUUUGACAUAAUUGUUGAGACACCUUUUUUCUUCCUUUUCUGCAAAUGCAUUCAGCGUUAAUGAAAUCUCCUCUGUACUACUUAGAAACAAGCUUAAAAACAGUGAAAAAUGAAGUUACUAUAAAAACUUUAGACCAAAAAGUAAAUCAAAUUAAAACCAAUAUAAAAUACCACUAUUUCUGCAGAAUACUGAACUUUUCUUCAGAAAAGACACAGGGCAAAAUCAUAAAUACUGAUCUCUUCCACCUGUUAAGUCCAAAAAUAUGUGCCUUAAAUAUACAGUUACUUCUGAGACUGCAACAAUCAAAAAUUGCAGCAAGGGAAAUUCUCGAUAGCUAAAAGGAAUAAAACACCCCUCAGAAUCAGAGAGGAUAAGGAACAGGUUGCUCAGAGAGGCUGUGACAUAACCGGUUUCAGAGAUUUUCAAAACUUGUCCAAAAAUGGCUCUUUGCAACCUAAUCUAACUCAUCACAAAGUCUGCUCAUCUCUGUAGGCUUUGUGAUGAGAGUUGAUGCCACAUUAUCUGGCUGAUUUCCCAACCGCUAAUAGGCAUACACUCUGUUUAGUGAGGUACAGUUGAUAAAAUUUGCCAUCUGUUCACUUGUCAACAGUCAGACGGUAGCUGGAGAUUUUGUAAUAUUAAUGCAGUAAAAUAGGAGAAGAAAGCUAUCAAUCCAUGUGCACACCUCAGAUUAGCAUUAGAAUUGCUGUGACAUUUAUUUAUGCAUGCAAGAAUGUGUAACAGGCAAUGCUAAACAAAGUAUUUGUUGUUGCAAUGCGUAUUUCUAUUUAUAACACUGAAGCUUGAACUGAUACUUUCAAUGCAGAUUUUUUUUUGGUUUUUUAGGCUUCAUUUUUUGUAAAGGCUUCCCUAAGAGGUUUGAGCAAAUCUUGCCACAUAAAUAGCAAACCCACAAAGUUAAGUGUUACAGUGUCGUAUUUACAUUUUCUUUUUAGUAAAUUAUUAUCCAGUGAUGGAAUAAUCAAAUCCUCUUAUUUAAUGAAGUGCUACAAUAAUACACAAGGAGCCUCUAUACAUCAGCCAGAACAUGUUGUUUUUCAUGACUUUCAGCUGAGUGAAACUACUGAUUCCAUUAAUAUUUAUUAAACCAGUCAUGUCUAUUUAACGUUGGUAUUUAGAAAAAAUGGGCAGAAUGCAUGGUUUUUUCACUGAGGCAAAUGAACAUUCUCUGUGAAUUCAAUGAAUGAUAAGUAAUGAUCCAAAAUUUCUCUUUGUCCUGUAUCUGUUCUUCUAGAUACAGAACUCAUAUGUGAUGUAACCGUGUUUUAGCUUUUUCAGUGGUUAGUUCCCCCUUCCCCCCCACCCCCAUUUUGGACUGUUUACCUUUUUCAUUGAGAACACACAAGGAAUGGUACCUACUAACAGACAGAGCUGUGUUAAUGUCAUUUUUAAGUGGCAUCCUAUCUGCAAGGGAGGCUCGGGAAGACUAACAAAGGAUUGUUUGGUAAUAGAGGUGCAAAAAUAUUUGUCUUUAUUUUCAAGUAAUGUCUCAGUACUUAAAAAACCCACAUAUAUGGUUGAUAAAAUAUCUAUUAAAAGUGCCAUCUUCCAAGUUUUUCCAUUUUUAAUUCCAUUUCAUUUUCCCUUUAUUUUUUAAAUCUAUGUUGGUUUUACUGAAACAGGAUAUAUGACACACAUGUGGCUUGCUGGGAUUCUUUACCAGGUGAAAUCACAUUGCUUCAGGAACAAUUUUUUGGUCCACUAGGUAAUAUAUUUAUGCUUGUUAGGAAAGCAUGUUUGUAAAGAGCAGUAGAAAUUUCAUUUACUGAAACAUACACUAAAACAAGAUGAUUUUAAAAAUUCAUGGAGUUCUUCAAGUUCUUUAGGUAAACACUUUAGCCAAUUAGGAAAUUAUUUAACCACAUAUUUUCUUAUGUUUUUCAACACCCUUUACAGUUGUGAUUAACUUUUCUUUGUUUUUACUGUGCAGAAAUUGUUAUGACUCUUAUGAAAAGCAAAGUAGAAAAUGGAUAUAUCAUCCUGGCUAUAGUGUAUAAUUGUCAUAGAGAACACCUAAUGCCACUGAUUUGCACAAUUAUUCUUAUUUACAUACACCAGCAGCAGGAGCUGCCACUGAUUAGCCAGUAUUUUUGUUCAAACUGUAGUUAUUCAGCUGUGAUUUGUAUAUACAAAAGCAUAAUAAGCUAAAGUCUGUUAAAACCUCAUUAAGAAAAAUAAUAAAUGAAAGUUUGUUACCUAACAGAAUGGCAGCAGGAGCUCUGUUCACAAUUUUCUGUCAUGUUUUCUUGCAUGGUCACUUCCCUAUGAUAGGAAUGGCUUUGAACAGCCAACACUGCACAAAAGAAGUAAACAAAUAAAUAAAAUAUAAGCCAUCA